GCCUCGUUAGCGCAGUUGGCAGCGCGUCAGUCUCAUAAUCUGAAGGCCGUGAGUUCAAUCCUCACACGGGGCA